GGUCAUGAGUGUCAGCGACAAGCCCCGGCUAGCUGAUCGGCAACCCUCCAACCGCGGUGGGGUGCUCCGGGUGAUGACCGGGUUGUGGUGGCACACACCACGGCAAGCGCGGGUC
rnacentral:ncRNA from 1 species